AGUUUGAUCCUGGCUCAGGACGAACGCUGGCGGCGUGGAUUAGGCAUGCAAGUCAAACGACGGUCCAGGGCUUGCUCUGGAUACGGAGUGGCGAACGGGUGAGUAACACGUGAACAACCUGUCCCUACUUUCUGGAUAAUUCACCGAAGGGUGUUGUAAUACAGGCGAGGGUCUUGAUGGGGCAUCUCAUUAAGAAGGAACAUGCAAAUGGUGCAGGGAGGGGUUCGCGGUCUAUCAGCUUGUUGGUGAGGUAACGGCUCACCAAGGCGACGACGGAUAGCUGGUCUGAGAGGAUGGUCAGCCACAUUGGAACUGAGAUACUGUCCACACUCCUACGGGAGGCUGCAGUCAAGAAUCUUGGGCAAUGCACGAAAGUGCCACCCACCGACGCCGCGUGGAGGAUGAACGCCCCUGGGUCGUAAACUCCUUUUAUGGAAAAAGAACGCCUCUUCGGAGGUUUGACGGUACUCCAUGAAUAAGCCACGGCUAACUACGUGCCAGCAGCCGCGGUAAUACGUAGGUGGCAAGCGUUGUCCGGAUUUACUGGGCGUAAAGCGUAUGCAGGCGGAUUGGUUAGUAAGAAGUGAAAGGUUGGAGCUCAACUCUAACACUGCUCCCUAUACUGCCAGUCUUGAGUGCCGGAGAGGACAAGGGAACUUCACGUGUAGCGGUGAAAUGUGUUGA
rnacentral:rRNA from 1 species